rnacentral:rRNA from 1 species
CGGAGGAUCCAAGCGUUAUCCGGAAUCAUUGGGUUUAAAGGGUCCGUAGGCGGUUUAGUAAGUCAGUGGUGAAAGCCCAUCGCUCAACGGUGGAACGGCCAUUGAUACUGCUAAACUUGAAUUAUUAGGAAGUAACUAGAAUAUGUAGUGUAGCGGUGAAAUGCUUAGAGAUUACAUGGAAUACCAAUUGCGAAGGCAGGUUACUACUAAUGGAUUGACGCUGAUGGACGAAAGCGUGGGUAGCGAACAGGAUUAGAUACCCUGGUAGUCCACGCCGUAAACGAUGGAUACUAGCUGUUGGGGGCAACUUCAGUGGCUAAGCGAAAGUGAUAAGUAUCCACCUGGGGAGUACGUUCGCAAGAAUG